rnacentral:rRNA from 1 species
AGAGUUUGAUCCUGGCUCAGAACGAACGCUGGCGGCGUGGAUAAGACAUGCAAGUCGAGCGAGAUUUUUCGUUGUAGCAAUACGAUGAAAAGUCUAGCGGCGAACGGGUGCUUAACACGUGGGCAACCUGCCAUGAAGUGGGGGGAUAGCUCGCCGAAAGGCGAAUUAAUACCGCAUGUGAUUAGAGAGGACAUCCUUUCGAAAUUAAAGUCGGGGCAACCUGACGCUUCUUGUGGGGCCCGCGGCCUAUCAGCUAGUUGGUGAGGUAACGGCUCACCAAGGCUUUGACGGGUAGCUGGUCUGAGAGGACGACCAGCCACACUGGGACUGAGACACGGCCCAGACACCUACGGGUGGCAGCAGUCGAGAAUUUUUGACAAUGGGGGAAACCCUGAUCGAGCGACGCCGCGUGGAGGAUGAAGGUCUUCGGAUUGUAAACUCCUGUCAUUGGGGAACAAGGUGCAUACGUUAACUGCGUGUGUAUUGAUAGUACCCGAAGAGGAAGGGACGGCUAACUCUGUGCCAGCAGCCGCGGUAAUACAGAGGUCUCAAGCGUUGUUCGGAUUCAUUGGGCGUAAAGGGUGCGUAGGCGGCGCGGUAAGUCGGGUGUGAAAUCUCGGAGCUUAACUCCGAAACUGCAUUCGAUACUGCCGUGCUUGAGGACUGGAGAGGAGACUGGAAUUUACGGUGUAGCGGUGAAAUGCGUAGAUAUCGUAAGGAAGACCAGUGGCGAAGGCGGGUCUCUGGACAGUUCCUGACGCUGAGGCACGAAGGUCAGGGGAGCAAACGGGAUUAGAUACCCUAGUAGUCC